GACGAACGCUGGCGGCGUGCCUAAUACAUGCAAGUCGAACGCUUCUUUUUCCACCGGAGCUUGCUCCACCGGAAAAAGAGGAGUUGCGAACGGGUGAGUAACACGUGGGUAACCUGCCCAUCAGAAGGGGAUAACACUUGGAAACAGGUGCUAAUACCGUAUAACAAUCAAAACCGCAUGGUUUUGAUUUGAAAGGCGCUUUCGGGUGUCGCUGAUGGAUGGCUCCGCGGUGCAUUAGCUAGUUGGUGAGGUAACGGCUCACCAAGGCCACGAUGCAUAGCCGACCUGAGAGGGUGAUCGGCCACAUUGGGACUGAGACACGGCCCAAACUCCUACGGGAGGCAGCAGUAGGGAAUCUUCGGCAAUGGACGAAGGUCUGACCGAGCAACGCCGCGUGAGUGAAGAAGGUUUUCGGAUCGUAAAACUCUGUUGUUAGAGAAGAACAAGGGUGAGAGUAACUGUUCAUCCCUUGACGGUAUCUAACCAGAAAGCCACGGCUAACUACGUGCCAGCAGCCGCCGUAA
rnacentral:rRNA from 1 species